CACACACACACAGUGAGUAGGGCGGUUGAAAGGAAGGAAACACUCUGGUACUGAACCCAUAGUUGUCACGACCGUAAAUCCCUCCUCUUAAGGGCAUUCCGGCUCUUUCCCGUUUUGCUUGAUUUUCCUGCACCUGCCUCCUGUUCCAGCCCUUCCCUUUAAAAGCCAGAUGCUCCUACCAGUAUGAGGCCUUCAUUGGAAGAUGGACGACCGGAAGCCCAAGUGCAGCAGGAGGAUGCAAUGCAACACAACGUGCUAGGAUUACAACCUCCAACACCAGCACAUUGUUUUCUUGCUGUGGCUGGCUUUUUCUCCUGACUGGAGUCCAGCAAAACAGCUGUGUGACCAAUGUGCCAGCACCAUCAGUGGGAGACCAUUGUGGUUUUUCCACUGUACUCCAGCUGGAUACAGCUGGACAGAAACAUCUCACAGCAGUCUACCCACGGGCUGAUCAGGUCUGAGCGUCUGUCUCAUAUCCAAUCUUAAUUUGUAAUGUUUAAGAUAUUUGGUUAAAUGCAUUAGACCUUAGUGUUGCAUGUCUUUUGUACAUCAAUGUACUGUACAGUAUGUGCAAGUAUGUGGAAAAUAAACAUUUCAUUUAAUCCAGUUUAUGGUAAUAUAAUGCUGAUAAAACAGUUGAGAUAACACAGACAAUAAUGUAACCAUAUACUCUUACUUUUACAUGUUUGUAUUGUUCUUCUCAUAAUUCCAUGAUCAAUAA